rnacentral:rRNA from 1 species
AUUGAACGCUGGCGGCAGGCUUAACACAUGCAAGUCGAACGAGUGGCGGACGGGUGAGUAAUGCUUGGGCACCUCCCUGAUGGAGGGGGAUAACUACGGGAAACGGUAGCUAAUACCGCAUACUACAGGAUGAGCCCAAAUGGGAUUAGUUAGUUGGUGGGGUAAAGGCUCACCAAGCCGACGAUCUCUAGCUGGGCUGAGAGGAUGAUCGGCCACACUGGGACUGAGACACGGCCCAGACUCCUACGGGAGGCAGCAGGGGGGAAUAUUGCGCAAUGGGGGAAAGCCUGACGCAGCCAUGCCGGGUGAAUGAAGAAGGCCUGCGGGUUGUAAAGUUCUUUCGGUAGGGAGGCGUUAACUACAGAAAAAGCACCGGCUAACUCCGGGCCAGCAGCCGCGGUAAUAC